rnacentral:rRNA from 1 species
AACGCUGGCGGCGUGCCUAAUACAUGCAAGUCGAACGGUCUUUCUAUGGAAGCUUGCUUCCACUGAGAAGAUAGUGGCGAACGGGUGAGUAAUACGUGGGUAACCUGCCCAUAAGAGGGGGAUAACAUCCGGAAACGGGUGCUAAUACCGCAUAGUUUUCUUGAUUGCAUGAUUGAGAAAGGAAAGACGGCCUUUGUGCUGUCGCUUAUGGAUGGACCCGCGGCGUAUUAGUUAGUUGGUGAGGUAACGGCUCACCAAGACGAUGAUACGUAGCCGACCUGAGAGGGUGAUCGGCCACAUUGGGACUGAGACACGGCCCAAACUCCUACGGGAGGCAGCAGUAGGGAAUCUUCCGCAAUGGACGAAAGUCUGACGGAGCAACGCCGCGUGAGUGAAGAAAAGGUUUUCGGAUCGUAAAACUCUGUUGUCAGAGAAGAACAAGUUGGAGAGUAACUGCUCCAGCCUUGACGGUAUCUGACCAGAAAGCCACGGCUAACUACGUGCCAGCAGCCGC